rnacentral:rRNA from 1 species
AUGGCUGGCACUUUGGUCGAAGAUUAUACAGGGGAUGGUAGAUCCUCGUCAACCGAGGACUUGCCAAGUGAUCAACAAAGCCAUUCUGGGGAAUCUUUAGCUGAGUGGAGGUCAAGCGAGCAAGUUGAGAACGGAACACCAUCCACUUCACCAGCUUACUCGGACACUGAAGAUGAUGAUUGUGGGCCAAGGCCUCCUGAACUUUAUGGAAAGUUUACAUGGAGGAUUGAUAAUUUUUCGCAAAUCAACAAGAGGGAGCUACGGAGUAACUCCUUCGAUGUUGGCGGUUAUAAAUGGUACAUUUUGAUUUAUCCACAAGGAUGUGAUGUUUGCAAUCACUUGUCACUCUUUCUUUGUGUUGCGAACCAUGAUAAACUACUCCCAGGAUGGAGCCACUUUGCGCAGUUUACAAUAGCUGUAAUUAAUAGAGACCCUAAGAAAUCUAAGUAUUCUGAUACGCUGCACCGGUUUUGGAAGAAAGAGCAUGACUGGGGAUGGAAAAAAUUUAUGGAGCUAUCAAAAUUACAUGAUGGCUUUGUCAUUGAGGAUGUUCUUACCAUCAAAGCUCAAGUUCAAGUUAUUAGGGAGAAGGCAGAUCGCCCAUUUCGUUGCCUUGAUGGCCAGUACCGAAGGGAACUAGUUAGGGUGUAUUUAUCAAAUGUGGAACAAAUUUGCCGGCGAUUUAUUGAUGAAAGAAGAAGCAAGCUUUGCAGGUUAAUUGAGGAUAGACUGAGAUGGUCCAGUUUCAAUGCAUUCUGGCUAGGCAUGGAUCCAAGUAUGCGGCGGAACAUGACAAGGGAAAAGACUGACACCAUAUUGAAAGUUCUAGUGAAACAUUUUUUCAUAGAAAAGGAAGUUACAUCAACCUUAGUAAUGGACUCGCUGUAUACCGGACUGAAGGCUCUGGAAUAUAAGAGCAAGAACCAAGUGGGGUUGUCCAAAUUAACAGAGACAGAUGCUCGAAGCACUUCUAUGGUGCUUGUUGAGCAGGAUAUGUUUGUCUUGGCAGAUGAUGUGUUAAUUUUGCUUGAAAGAGCUACAUUAGACACACUGCCACACCAACAAUUGCCUACCAAGGAUGAAAAAGCUUCACAGAACCGCACAAAGGAAAGCAGCUCGGGCGAUGACUUCAACAAAGACUCUAUUGAGCGCGAUGACAGACGACUUAUAGAGCUUGGCUGGAAGACACUAGAAUUUUUUGCCUUGGCUCAUAUAUUCAGUCGAAUUGAAGUGGCAUACCAAGAGGCCGUGGCUUUGAAGCGCCAAGAAGAGCUCAUCCGUGAAGAAGAAGCUGCUGGGCUUGCAGAAAUCGAACUUAAGGCAAAGCGUAGUGCUGCUGAGAAGGAAAAACGUAUCAGGAAAAAGCAGGCCAAACAAAAGAAAAACAACCGGAAAAAUAAUAAAGGAAAAAAUGAAAGGGUUGACAUGAAGGAAGUAGCUUUAGAGGGCAGUCCAUCAGAUGAUAGAAACCCUGAUGAUUUGUCAAGUCAAGCUGAAGAAGUGACCUCAAAUCCUGACAAUCCUGACGAAGCAUCUGAUAUCUCUGAUAACAGAGAUGAUAAUUCUGAGGUGCUUAAUGUUGAUCUUGAAGACCGUGAAUCCAGUCCUGUUAAUUGGGAAACAGAUGCUUCAGAAACUCGAGGCAUUGUUCCUGAAGUUGGUGAUGUGCAAAAUGAGCAAUCAGGAAAGAGGGCUUCAUUUGUUGAUGAUAGCUCGUCUACUUGUUCAUCUGACUCGGUUCCUUCAGUUAUCUUGAAUGGGUCGAAUGCAGGUGGUGCCUGGACAAAUGUCAAAUCCUCAUCCAAUAGGGGGAACAACCGGAGGAAUAAGGAUACUGAUUUGCGAACAGGGCAUGCACAUGGUGGAUCAAAUCCAGCACCCAAUGGCAGUUAUGGAUCUAGCAACUCAAAGGACAUGAGACCUGAAGCUGGGGAUGACAAAGUUGUGUCACAGAAGAAGCAAAAUGCACAGCGGCAUGUUGAUGUUAUGAGCCCCUCCAAGUUAAGAAUGACGGAGUCUUCCAUUCCUUCUGUGAGCCCUGUUAAGAAGCAACCUAUCUUCUCCCAGCAGCCAAAAUCUUCACUAGAAAGUACUAACAAUCUGAGUUCCCGUGCAACCGAAGUUUCAGCUGCUGCAGCUAGUACUACCACUACCAGAACGGGUGUGGCUUCCACCCCAACUGUUCAGCUAGUUCCAAAUAAAGGACCUCCGUCUGUUCCUCCAACUCAUAAUGAGAGGUCAGUUCCAGUUGCAAGUCGACCUCUGCAGAUACCUGUGCCCACCAAAUCUGAAACUCAGAAGCCAACUUCUCUAGUAAAUAGCUCUAGUGCAACCAAGGUCAUUACAGCUUCAAGGCCCUUGAGUGCCCCGCAAGUCCCUGCAGCAAAACAAGUGGCACCUGCUGUUUCAACAGUUCAGACUGCACCAGUUCUUUCUCGUUCGAGGAGUGCAGUUGGACGGUUGGGCAAUGAGCCCUCUGCCAGUGCUCCUAGCUACAUUCCCCGGUCAUACCGUAAUGCCAUGAUGGAGAAAACUUCUGUUGCAAGCGGUCUUACUCAUCAGACUAGUUCCUCAGUGCAAGGAGUUUCACACUCACAAUCAAUGUUUGCAUCAUCUGCUUCCAUUCUGUCACCAGAUAACUCUGCUAGGACAGAAAAGUCAUCAUUGGAACCUGGAUUUACGUUUGGAACAGUGAAGCCUGAGUCACUCAAUCAGUACCAGUGGAGAGAAGAUAGCUCACAGCAGGCAAGCUGCAGUAGCAGCAGCAGUAAUGAUCAUGGUCUACUGAAUUCAAGUGUGGGCAAUGAGUCUGAUAAGCUCAAUUUGAAUGGAAGACCAAGAAGCAAGCAGCUGUUGUCUGAAAUUUCGACCAGAUUCACUCCAUACCAACCGCAAGGCCUGGUCGGCGACGAGUUUCCGCACCUAGACAUCAUCAACGACUUGCUGGACGAGGAGCUCGGUGACAGAAGAAAGGUUCUACAGCCGGGGUUUGUUCGGCAGUUCUCUAUGCCGAAUAACGUUCCCAAUAACGCCAGCACACCUGAUUAUGGCAUGUUUAAUGAUCAGUACCUGUUUGAUCAGUCGGAGCAAUACUAUGAUGAGGAGCUUGCACCGUACUACAGUGAUCUGAACGGUGGCCCUCAAGGGCUUAGGGACAGGAGUUAUUCACAGUUUGAUCUCCCCUCAUAUUCAAACAGCCAAUUUGAUGAUAUGGUGAUGGGCCAGUGGCCAUACAGCCGCGCCGACAACUCCAUGCCGAACUUCGGGGCAGACAUCAAUGCCUACCCCUAUCAGUCGAGGGAUUACCAGACGACCUCAGCGAAUGCAGCAAGCCGCUACCCAUCCUAUCACCCUGGGAAUGGGCAUUGA